UGUUUCUCAAUAGCUAUAUUAGUCUGCUUGAGCUGCCAUAACAAAAUAUCAUAGACUAGGUGGCUUACACAGCAGAAAUUAAUUUUCUCACAGCUAUGGAGACUGGAAGUCCAAGAUCAAGAUGGCAGCAGAGUUAGUGUCUUGUGAAGCUUCUCUCCUUGGUUAUUGGACAGCUGCCUUCUUGCUGCAUAUUCACAUGCCCUCUUUGUGCCUGCAUGAAGAGAGCAGUGACAAGCAAGCUCUUUGGUGUGUCUUCUUAUAAAAGCACUAAUCCUAUUGGAUUAAGGGUCCCCAUUAUGACCUCAUCUAACCUUAAUUACUGCUUUAGAGCCCCCAUCUCCAAAUAUAGGCACACUGGGGGUUGCGGGUUCAACAUACAUAUUUUAGGGGAACGCAAGCCUUUAGUCCAUAACGACAGCCAAAGAUAGAAUGCGCAUCUAGUUCAUUUAGGAACGUUCAUUUCAUCCAAUCUACCCCCACUUAGAGUUCUGUAAUAGGCAUGUGUACUCAGAUACGCACAUGCAGUUAAUUCAUUUUCCCAAAGGACAUGAGCACAGUUAUAAAUAAUUUCAUGAUGUGUGUACUGCCACAUGGUAAUUUAUAGACAAAACUACCUCUGUAAUCCUAGCCUCUGUGCAGACUCUUAGGGAUCCUAAACAGCUGCCUCUGUUUCUGUAACCCUGUGGAGGUGUGGACAGCUACAUUUGUCCUUUUCAGAAGGAAAGAAAAUCAUCAUAAAUUUUUUUUCAGAAGUGUUUACAGCACAGAUGCUUCUAAUGAAGAGGUUUAUGUUUACACUUGGCCUGAUGGCAGGCAAAUAUUUAGUUUGUUCAGGAAACAGAAAGAUGGCUCAAACCCUGAGCGUGGGAAGACAUUUAGAAUAAUGAUGGGAGGCAUCUUUUCUGACAGGUUGAUGUGCCUGGUGCUUUCUUCUACCAGAGGCAACUGUUGUGGGCAGAACCUCUCCUCCACAUGGUUUUCUCCAUUUCUGGUAACCUCCGACCUACUUAAUCUCUCCAGCCCUUGGAAUAGAAACAACCAUGCUAUUACUAGCUGUGGUAUUACACUCUCUCUGGUUGUUUCCCAUAUAAUAGACAUUAAAAAUAUCUUCAAAUCACUCAGUUGCCAAUUGUGUUCUACCAGAAUUAUAAUUAUAC
rnacentral:lncRNA from 1 species